UACGAGGGGGGCGAGCGUUGUUCGGAAUUAUUGGGCGUAAAGGGUGCGUAGGCGGCCUGACAAGUCUGAUGUGAAAUCCCUGGGCUCAACCCAGGGCCUGCAUCGGAAACUGUCGGGCUUGAGUAUGGGAGAGGUGAGUGGAAUUUCCGGUGUAGCGGUGAAAUGCGUAGAUAUUCGCAAGAACACCAGUGGCGAAGGCGGCUCACUGGCCCGGUACUGACGCUGAGGUGCGAAAGCGUGGGGAGCAAACAGG
rnacentral:rRNA from 1 species